CUCUAGGAAUAUUGUAGAACCUUUGUAUCAUACUUUUUCCUCUUGCCUUGGUUCAGUAACGCUUCUAACAAGCUCUAAUCAUGCUUUUAUUGGACAAGGAAGAUAGUUAUCUAAAAGUUCAAACAUAAAAUAUAAACACAUUGUGGGUUGCUUUAGUCCAAUUACAGAUUGGACAAGGAAGAUAGCUAUCUAAAAGUUCAAACAUCGAAUAUAAACACGUUGUGGGUUGCUUUAGUACAAUUACAUCCGAUAAAGAUGGGGAAAGUAUAAAUUCAAGGCACCCUUGAGAAAUUCAAAAGAGACAGUAGUAAAAU
rnacentral:lncRNA from 1 species